rnacentral:rRNA from 1 species
AUUUAGAGGAAGGAGAAGUCGUAACAAGGUUUCCGUAGGUGAACCUGCGGAAGGAUCAUUGUCGAAACCUGCAAAGCAGACCGCGAACACGUUUCCACCAAUCCCGGUGCCGCGGCGCGGGGGGGUAUCCUCCCGUCGCGGCCCCAACCCCCGUCGGCGCGUGCGCUCGCGCCGCGCCGUGCGGGCUAACGAACUCGGGCGCGGAAUGCGCCAAGGAAAACGCAAUGGAGCGUUCCCCUCCCCACCACGGCCCGUUCGCGGGGCGAUGGGGAGCAAGGGACGCCUAUCGAAUGUCUAAACGACUCUCGGCAACGGAUAUCUCGGCUCUCGCAUCGAUGAAGAACGUAGCGAAAUGCGAUACUUGGUGUGAAUUGCAGAAUCCCGUGAACCAUCGAGUCUUUGAACGCAAGUUGCGCCCGAAGCCAUUAGGCCGAGGGCACGUCUGCCUGGGCGUCACGCAUCGCGUCGCCCCCUCCCCCGCGGGGUGGGGCGGAUAUUGGCCUCCCGUGCGCAUCGCUGUGCGCGGCCGGCCCAAAUGCGAGUCCGCCGUCGACGCACGUCACGACCAGUGGUGGUUGAACGAUCAACUCGCGUGCUGUCGUGUUCCACGGCGUCGUCGGUCCGGAAACCGCUAUAAAGACCCAACGGCGCGAGCACGCAUCGUGCCCACGACCGCGACCCCAGGUCAGGCGGGAUCACCCGCUGAGUUUA